rnacentral:tRNA from 1 species
CAGUGUAUAGCUAAAUUAGGAUAGCAUCUCACUUACAUUGAGAAGGAUUAUCGUGCAAGUCGAUUUACUCUGA